UACGUAGGUCCCAAGCGUUGUCCGGAUUUAUUGGGCGUAAAGCGAGCGCAGGUGGUUUAUUAAGUCUGGUGUAAAAGGCAGUGGCUCAACCAUUGUAUGCAUUGGAAAUUGGUAGACUUGAGUGCAGGAGAGGAGAGUGGAAUUCCAUGUGUAGCGGUGAAAUGCGUAGAUAUAUGGAGGAACACCGGUGGCGAAAGCGGCUCUCUGGCCUGUAACUGACACUGAGGCUCGAAAGCGUGGGGAGCAAACAGG
rnacentral:rRNA from 1 species